rnacentral:tRNA from 1 species
GAUGUGGCUCAGUGGUAGAGUAUUUGCCUAGCUUGUGCAAGGCCCUGGGUUCAAUCCCCAGUACAACA